UACAAUAGUUUGACUCUUUGUUUUAUUUGAAUUUUUUCUAUAAUUAAUAUUUUUAUUGUUACUAAAUGAUAAAACAUAAAUAGUAUUUUAUGCGUGACUAAUUUUUUAGUUUUUUAUAUAUUUUUUAAAUAAGACUAAUGGUUAAAUGUUGGAUACAGAAAUCGA
rnacentral:pre_miRNA from 1 species